UAAAACCACUGUCAUGUAUGUGCUUAUACAUAUAUGUUCCCUCCCAAUUUAUUCUCUGAUUUGUCUGUCCAUACCAUUUGAUUUUUAUUCUUUUCCAUUGUCUUAUGGUUUAGGAAGCAUUGAGCAGUUGCAUUGCAAAUACAAGGAACAUCAUCAGUCCAACAGAGAGGUAGCAACAAGAGGUUGAGGUUAUCACUCGAGGCAAGAAAUCCUAUCGUAUCCUUCCAAACGCAGAGAGGAGCAUUCCUUACUUUUAAUAGAUCAAAUAAUUCAAUGAUGCUUUGGUUUCUUACUAUUAUCUGUUGAAAUGCAUGGUAUCUGUUGAAGUGCGUGGUAAGGAUGACAAGCCUACCAAAUGUUUAUUCCAAAUCUAAAAUGAUAGCUCCCUGUUAUGCAUGCAUAAUCAGGAGCGAUAAGCCCUGCAUUUGGCCUUAAUAGGAUGAAAUAAAUAACUUAUCAUCGUUAUGCAGAUUAGCUAGGUUCAGCUAUGUGCUUAUGACAUAUCAUCAAUCUGUCCCCAUUGAUUAUGCGUGUAUUUUUCUCUUGUAUUAGCCUGAUGUAGAAAAUAACUGGAUUUUUUUUAUGUUCUUGCAUCGCAAGACCAGCUUGGGUGAGACUGCUAUUACCAAAUAGAUUGUUCUGAUUAAACCACAAUUUUUGUGGAACCGGUCUCUUUUAGCUCACACAUUAUCUCGAGAUUUAGUGUUACUAUUUUCUCUGAUGCCAAAUUGAUUCUGUUGAUUAUUUAUUAUAUAGAUAUAGUUCCUUCUUCUUGUUGUCUUUCUGUAGCAUCACUGACUGUACGUGCAUCUUAACAUCUCGAGUCAACGGUGAUACUGUUUUCAGUGUCUAAUUUUUUCUGUAAUGCAACUUCACGUGGAUGUAACAGAAUGUGCAAAGUUUCCUUCAACGCAAAGCUGCAAUGUGAUUUGAAAGUACCAGGUUUAGAUAGUGGAGGAUCCUGAAUUGAUGCAUAUAUUGCCUCCAAAGGUAACCAGGCUCCAAAGUGCAGAAUGAGGAGAGGUAUGCUUGCUGUUGUCUAUGUUAGUCUAUCUACUCAAUCACCUUCAUAUGAACAGGUGCAUCGGAAUUGUUUAUCUCAUUGCAUUGGAAUUGUUUCUUUGGUGCAGGGUUUCUGCUGUUAUUGUUAAAUCUUUUUUUUUGAGGGAAACAGCAGGACUCUGCUGCGUAUUUUAUUAUUUUAAAAAAAUAUAUAGUACAAAGAAUAAGGUCUGAAAAAAUAAAAAAAAUACUAUACAUCAAAGAUACAAACAAAACUAAGAAGAGACAGUAAACAACAAAUACAACAGCAGCAUAGCAAGUUAUCUAAAGGAUUUGAUCCAAGCCUUUAUUGUUAAAUCUUAAUGAAACAUCUGUUCCUGGUUCAGAGGUUUAUAAGUUCCCUUUCUCAAAUAUUGAGGUGAUGUAUUUUCAAACCUCAAUGCAAAAUGGUUAGUCAGUCUCAAACAGCUGCAGCUCUACUUUCCAGGUCAUGGGCAUCCCAAAGAAACUUGUUCCGACCAUUGGCAUUUUCAUGGACCACCGCCAGAAGAACAUGUAACUCGAGGUUAUGCAAUCUAAUGUCCACAGGCUCGAGAUACAAGGCCAACUUGGCAAGCUUUAUUUUCCUAAGCCAUCCAGAGGUCCAGGGCGACCACAUGCCCAUCACUCACGGUGGCGGCGAGAAGCACAUGCAUACGGCAAGCUCCGUGUUGAGAUGAUGAACCAACACCUGUUGGGAGCCCAGAUGAAGAAGGCUGCAGACGUGGAGAAAGCGGAUAAGUGAUGAGAUGUUUAUGGCAGCUAAUGGAUGAUGUUAUCUUAGUUUCUGAAUUUUUGUUUUGGUUGACUCGGAAACCUUGUUUGAUGUUUGAAGAUCCCUUUUUACCCACUCAUCAAAUCAUCUCUUCAUUUUUGUA